rnacentral:piRNA from 1 species
UAACGUAAAUAAUCUGUGCUUUCCAAUGGUC